CCUACGGGUGGCAGCAGUGAGGAAUAUUGGUCAAUGGGCGAGAGCCUGAACCAGCCAAGUCGCGUGAAGGAUGAAGGAUCUAUGGUUUGUAAACUUCUUUUAUAUGGGAAUAAAGUGAGGAACGUGUUCCUUUUUGUAUGUACCAUAUGAAUAAGCAUCGGCUAACUCCGUGCCAGCAGCCGCGGUAAUACGGAGGAUGCGAGCGUUAUCCGGAUUUAUUGGGUUUAAAGGGUGCGUAGGUGGUUAAUUAAGUCAGCGGUGAAAGUUUGUGGCUUAACCAUAAAAUUGCAGUUGAAACUGGUAGACUUGAGUAUAUUUGAGGUAGGCGGAAUUCGUGGUGUAGCGGUGAAAUGCGUAGAGAUCACGCAGAACACCGAUUGCGAAGGCAGCUUACUAGACAAUAACUGACACUGAAGCGCGAAAGCGUGGGGAGCAAACAGGAUUAGAUACCCUUGUAGUC
rnacentral:rRNA from 1 species